UACCAUUUGGAAAAACAGAUGCUAAUACCGGAUAAAAGCACUUUCGCAUGAAAGAGUUUUAAAAGGCGGCGUAAAGCUGUCGCUAAAAGGGAUGGGACCUGCGAUGCAUUAGCUAGUUGGUAAGGUAACGGGCUUACCAAGGCGAUGAUGCAUAGCCCGAGUUGAGAGACUGAUCGGCCACAUUGGGGACUGAGACACGGGCCCAAACUCCUACGGGAGGCAGCAGUAGGGAAUCUUCCACAAUGGACGAAAGUCUGAUGGAGCAAACGCCGCGUGAGUGAAGAAGGUUUUCGGAUCGUAAAGCUCUGUUGUUGGUGAAGAAGGAUAGAGGUAGUAACUGGCCCUUUAUUUUGACGGUAAUCAACCAGAAAGUCACGGGCUAACUACGUGCCAGCAGCCGCGGUAAAU
rnacentral:rRNA from 1 species